UACGAGAGGCCCAAACGUUAUUCGGAAUUACUGGGCUUAAAGAGUUCGUAGGCGGCAUGAAAAGUAGGGUGUGAAAGCCCUCGGCUCAACCGAGGAAUUGCGCUCUGAACUGUCGUGCUUGAGGAACCUAGAGGUGAGCAGAACAGAUGGUGGAGCGGUGAAAUGCGUUGAUAUCAUCUGGAAUACCGGAGGCGAAGGCGGCUCACUGGGGGUUUUCUGACGCUGAGGAACGAAAGCCAGGGUAGCGAACGGG
rnacentral:rRNA from 1 species